AGCAGCCGCGGUAAUUCCAGCUCCAAUAGCGUAUAUUAAAGUUGUUGCAGUUAAAAAGCUCGUAGUUGAAUUUCGGGGUUAGUAGGUUGGUCAUGCCACUGGUAUGUACUGAUUUUACUGAUUCCUCCUUCCUGAUGAACCGUAAUGCCAUUAAUUUGGUGUUGCGGGGAGACUGGACUGUUACUUUGAAAAAAUUAGAGUGUUUAAAGCAGGCUAACGCUUGAAUACAUUAGCAUGGAAUAAUGAAAUAGGACGUUCGAUCCUAUUUUGUUGGUUUCUAGGAUUGACGUAAUGAUUAAUAGGGAUAGUUGGGGGCAUUAGUAUUCAAUUGUCAGAGGUGAAAUUCUUGGAUUUAUUGAAGACUAACUACUGCGAAAGCAUUUGCCAAGGAUGUUUUCAUUAAUCAAGAACGAAAGUUAGGGGAUCGAAGACGAUCAGAUACCGUCGUAGUCUUAACCAUAAACUAUGCCGACUAGGGAUCGGAUGAUGUUAAUUUUUUAAUGACUCAUUCGGCGCCUUACG
rnacentral:rRNA from 1 species